rnacentral:rRNA from 1 species
GGUGGUGUCAUGCCAUUAUUGGCUGUUGGAUGGCAGGGGCAGUCUCAUAGCCUUUGCUUGUGUUUUCCCCAUGCCAAGUGGUUAUGGUGUGGCCUCAUAUGUUGUUCUCUUUGCUUGCCAAUUAAGUAAUCAAUUGGCUGGUUGUCAAUUGGUGUGCAUGGAUCCUGCCACUUGUAUGCAAAGGGCAUAUAAGUGGUGUUAUAGUUGUGUGUGUUGGCAGGCUUCAUGCUUGAUGCAUCGAAUUGUCGACCCAUCAUCCUCUUCAAUUUCCCCUAUGUAAACAUCGUAACAUGGGGGCACAUUCAAGAUCCUAUGCUAUAUACCUAUAUUGAUGGAAACUAGGUGUCUUGCCAUCCUUCAUAUGCCUUGUGUCCUUAAGAGGUACAGGUUAGACCUUAAUCAUGCCCUGUGUCCCAAGCAUCCUACCCAAACCUUCAUGGCUACAUUGGUGCAUUGGUAUUCAAUUGUGCUCUUAGAUGUGGAACCUUUUAUGGAUGCAUGCUCUCAACCUUUAUUCAUCCGAUGCUAUGCAUUUUACAUGCUCAACAUGCAUGAUGCUUGUGCUCCUUGUUGGCUUUCUCUAUCAACCCAUGUGAUGCCAACUAGGGUUGGGUCAUUUGGUCUACCUAAUGGUGAGCACCAAUCUACUCAUCCUACUAUUGGUGAUGUGCUCCUAGCUUUAAUUGGCUAGGUUAUUCCUUUAACACUAUUACUUUGAAAAAAUUUGUGUGCUUAGAGCAGGCCUAUGCUUGCAUACAUUAGCAUGGGAUAACAUCAUAGGAUUUCGAUCCUAUUCUAUUAGCAUUUGGGAUAGGAGUAAUGAUUGAUAGGGAACAAUCAGGGGCAUUUGUAUUUCAUAGUCAAAGAUAAAAUUCUUGGAUUUAUGAAAGAUGAACAACUGCCAAAGCAUUUGCCAAGGAUGUUUUCAUUAAUCAAGAAUGAAAGUUAGGGACUCAAAGAUGAUCAGGUACCAUCCUAGUCGCAACCAUAAAUGACACCAACUAGGGAUUGGUGGAUGUUAGUUUUAGGUCUCCACCGACACCCUAUAAGAAAUCAAAGUCUUUGAGUUUUAGGGGAAGUAUGGUCAUAAGUUGAAACUUAAAGGAAUUGAUGGCAGGGCACCACAAGGGUGGAGCCUAUGGCCUAAUUUGACUCAACAUAGGAAACUUACUAGGUUCAAACAUAGUAAAGAUUGACAAAUUGAGAGCUAUUUCUGAUUCUAUGGGUGGUGGUGCAUGGCUGUUCUUAGUUGGUGGAGUGAUUUGUUUGAUUAAUUCCUUUAACGAACGAAACCUCAGCCUACUAACUAGCUAUACAAAGGUGAUCCUUUGUAGCCAGCUUCUUAAGUGGACUAUGGUUAUUUAGACCAAGGAAGUUUAAGGCAAUAAUAGGUUAGUGAUGCUUUUAGAUGUUCUAGGCCAGAUGCAUGGUACAUUGAUGUAUUCAAUGAGUCUAUAGCAUUGGUUGAUAGGCUUAGGAAAUCUUUGAAAUUUCAUCCUGAUGGGGAUAGAUCAUUGCAAUUAUUGGUCUUCAAUGAGGAAUUACUAUUGAUUGUAAGUCAUCAGCUUGUGUUGACUACACUUUUACCUUUUGUAUACACCAUUCGUUGUUCCUACUAAUUGAAUGGUUCGAUGAAGUGUUCAGAUUAUGGCAACGUGGAUGGUUCAUUUCCUAUAAUGUUGUAAGAAGUCCACUGAACCUUAUCAUUUAGAGGAAGGAAAAGUUGUAACAAGGAUUCUAUAGGUGAACCUAUAGAAG